AGCGAACGCUGGCGGCAGGCUUAACACAUGCAAGUCGAGCGGGCACUUCGGUGUCAGCGGCAGACGGGUGAGUAACACGUGGGAACGUACCCUUUGGUUCGGAAUAACGCUGGGAAACUAGCGCUAAUACCGGAUACGCCCUUUUGGGGAAAGGCUUGCUGCCGAAGGAUCGGCCCGCGUCUGAUUAGCUAGUUGGUGGGGUAAUGGCCUACCAAGGCGACGAUCAGUAGCUGGUCUGAGAGGAUGAUCAGCCACACUGGGACUGAAACACGGCCCAGACUCCUACGGGAGGCAGCAGUGGGGAAUAUUGGACAAUGGGCGCAAGCCUGAUCCAGCCAUGCCGCGUGAGUGAUGAAGGCCUUAGGGUUGUAAAGCUCUUUUGUCCGGGACGAUAAUGACGGUACCGGAAGAAUAAGCCCCGGCUAACUUCGUG
rnacentral:rRNA from 1 species